rnacentral:rRNA from 1 species
UACGGGGGGGGCAAGCGUUGUUCGGAAUUACUGGGCGUAAAGGGCUCGUAGGUGGCCAACUAAGUCAGACGUGAAAUCCCUCGGCUUAACCGGGGAACUGCGUCUGAUACUGGAUGGCUUGAGUUUGGGAGAGGGAUGCGGAAUUCCAGGUGUAGCGGUGAAAUGCGUAGAUAUCUGGAGGAACACCGGUGGCGAAGGCGGCAUCCUGGACCGGUAUUGACGCUGAGGAGCGAAAGCCAGGGGAGCAAACGGGG